rnacentral:rRNA from 1 species
UACGUAGGUGGCAAGCGUUAUCCGGAUUUAUUGGGCGUAAAGGGAGCGUAGGCGGGUUGUUAAGUCAGCGGUGAAAGUUUGUGGCUCAACCAUAAAAUUGCCGUUGAAACUGGAAGACUUGAGUGUGUUUGAGGUAGGCGGAAUGCGUGGUGUAGCGGUGAAAUGCAUAGAUAUCACGCAGAACUCCGAUUGCGAAGGCAGCUUACUAAGCCAUAACUGACACUGAAGCACGAAAGCGUGGGGAUCAAACAGG